AUUGAACGCUGGCGGCAGGCCUAACACAUGCAAGUCGAACGAGUGGCGGACGGGUGAGUAAUGUCUGGGAAACUGCCUGAUGGAGGGGGAUAACUACUGGAAACGGUAGCUAAUACCGCAUACCAUCGGAUGUGCCCAGAUGGGAUUAGCUAGUUGGUGGGGUAACGGCUCACCAAGGCGACGAUCCCUAGCUGGUCUGAGAGGAUGCCCAGCCACACUGCAACGGAGACACGGUCCAGACUCCUACGGUAGGCAGCAGUGGGGAAUAUUGUACAAUGUGGGCAAGCCUGAUGCAGCCAUGCCGCGGGUAUGAAGAAGGCCGUCGGGUUGUAAAGUACUUUCAGCGGGGAGGCGUUACUCGCAGAAGAAGCACCGGCUAACUACGUGCCAGCAGCCGCGGUAAUAC
rnacentral:rRNA from 1 species